CUGGAACACCUCCUUUCUGGAGAGUAUGACUGUUCGACGACAGAUCGAUGCUCGUUCUUUCUCUCGAAUUACCGGUAAUUUUUGUUAUACGAGUGGGAUUCUCCCGCGGAUACAGUCCCGUAGCUCAGUUGGUUAGAGCACUACACUGAUAAUGUAGGGGUCUGCGGUUCAAGUCCGCACGGGACUACACAAAAGCUCGGGGGAUUAGCUCAGUUGGCUAGAGCACCUGCUUUGCAAGCAGGGGGUCAAGGGUUCGACUCCCUUAUCCUCCACUCGGAUCGGAUAACCGAUCAACGUUCCUUGACAUUAUUGAGGAGAUGAGAUAGAGUUCUCACACGGGCAAUAGGCUGUGUGGGAAGUUGUAAGAAAGUAAAAAAGGGCGCAUGGUGAAUGCCU
rnacentral:tRNA from 1 species